GGAGUUUGGACCGUGUCUCAGUUCCAAUGUGGCCGAUCACCCUCUCAGGUCGGCUACUGAUCGUAGGCUUGGUGGGCCGUUACCUCACCAACUACCUAAUCAGACGCAGGCCCAUCCUUAGCCGAUAAAUCUUUGGCGAGUUCAACAUGUGAUAAACUCGCAUUAUGGGGUUUUAAUCAUCGUUUCCAAUGGCUAUCCCCCUGCUAAGGGCAGGUUGCCUACGCGUUACUCACCCGUCCGCCGCUUUCCACUUAUUCAUUCGACCGAAGUUUCAUUCAUAAGCUUCUCGCUCGACUUGCAUGUGUUAGGCACGCCGCCAGCGUUCAUCCUGAGCCAUGAUCAAACUACU
rnacentral:rRNA from 1 species